AGAUUCAUCGCUGAUAGAUAGGCAUGCGUUCCAUUAGGCAGUUGGCGGGGUAACGGCCCACCAAACCGACGAUGGAUAGGGGUCUGAGAGGAAGGUCCCCCACAUUGGUACUGAGACACGGACCAAACUCCUACGGGAGGCAGCAGUGAGGAAUAUUGGUCAAUGGCCGAGAGGCUGAACCAGCCAAGUCGCGUGAGGGAUGAAGGUUCUAUGGAUCGUAAACCUCUUUUAUAAGGGAAUAAAGUGCGGGACGUGUCCCGUUUUGUAUGUACCUUAUGAAUAAGGAUCGGCUAACUCCGUGCCAGCAGCCGCGGUAAUACGGAGGAUCCGAGCGUUAUCCGGAUUUAUUGGGUUUAAAGGGUGCGUAGGCGGCCUUUUAAGUCAGCGGUGAAAGUCUGUGGCUCAACCAUAGAAUUGCCGUUGAAACUGGGGGGCUUGAGUAUGUUUGAGGCAGGCGGAAUGCGUGGUGUAGCGGUGAAAUGCAUAGAUAUCACGCAGAACCCCGAUUGCGAAGGCAGCCUGCCAAGCCAUUACUGACGCUGAUGCACGAAAGCGUGGGGAUCAAACAGGAUUAGAUACCCUGGUAGUCCACGCAGUAAACGAUGAUCACUAGCUGUUUGCGAUACACUGUAAGCGGCACAGCGAAAGCGUUAAGUGAUCCACCUGGGGAGUACGCCGGCAACGGUGAAACUCAAAGGAAUUGACGGGGGCCCGCACAAGCGGAGGAACAUGUGGUUUAAUUCGAUGAUACGCGAGGAACCUUACCCGGGUUUGAACGCAUUCGGACCGAGGUGGAAACACCUUUUCUAGCAAUAGCCGUUUGCGAGGUGCUGCAUGGUUGUCGUCAGCUCGUGCCGUGAGGUGUCGGCUUAAGUGCCAUAACGAGCGCAACCCUUGCCACUAGUUACUAACAGGUAAAGCUGAGGACUCUGGUGGGACUGCCAGCGUAAGCUGCGAGGAAGGCGGGGAUGACGUCAAAUCAGCACGGCCCUUACAUCCGGGGCGACACACGUGUUACAAUGGCGUGGACAAAGGGAAGCCACCUGGCGACAGGGAGCGAAUCCCCAAACCACGUCUCAGUUCGGAUCGGAGUCUGCAACCCGACUCCGUGAAGCUGGAUUCGCUAGUAAUCGCGCAUCAGCCAUGGCGCGGUGAAUACGUUCCCGGGCCUUGUACACACCGCCCGUCAAGCCAUGGGAGCCGGGGGUACCUGAAGUCCGUAACCGCGAGGAUCGGCCUAGG
rnacentral:rRNA from 1 species